rnacentral:rRNA from 1 species
UACGAAGGGGCUAGCGUUGCUCGGAAUUACUGGGCGUAAAGCGCACGUAGGCGGAUCUUUAAGUCAGGGGUGAAAUCCUGGAGCUCAACUCCAGAACUGCCUUUGAUACUGAGGACCUUGAGUUCGGGAGAGGUGAGUGGAACUGCGAGUGUAGAGGUGAAAUUCGUAGAUAUUCGCAAGAACACCAGUGGCGAAGGCGGCUCACUGGCCCGGUAUGACGCUGAGGUGCGAAAGCGUGGGGAGCAAACAGG